ACGACCCAAGGUCUUUCAUACCAUCAACAGCCUAGAGUUUUUUCAUAGCAUUUAAAGCCCUGAUCUCAAGACCUAAAGUGGUUCAUGUCAUUAGAAGCCCUGAGUUGUUCAUAGCAUCUAAACCCUUAUGCUCAUGACCCGAUGUCAUUCAUGUCAUCCAUAGCCUAGAGUUAUUCAUAGCAUCUAGAGCCUUGAGCGUCAAGAACUAGGGUUGUUCAUGUUUUCCACAACCUUGAGAUAAUCAUAGAAUCAAGUGGCUUGAGUUGUUCAUAGCAUCUAGAGCCUUAAGGUCAUAACUCGGAUUAGCUCAUGUCAACGAUAGCCCUGAACUGUUGAUAACAUUUAAAGCCCUAAGCCCAUGACCCAAGGUCGUUCAUUUCAACCAUAACCCUAAGAUGUUCAUAGUAUCUAUAGUGCUUUGUUCACGACCCCGAGUCAUUCAUGUCAUUCAGAACCUUAAGUUGUUCAUAACAUCUUGAACCCCGAGGUCAUGACCCAAAGUCUUUCAUGUCAUUGAUAACCUUAAUUUGUUCAUAGCAUCUAAAGCUUGGAGCACACAACCUGGAGUCAUUGAAGUCAACCACAACCCAGAGUUGUUCAUAGCAUCUAGAGCCCAAAGCUCACAACCCAAAGUAGCAAAUGUGAUCCACAGCCCUAAGCUAUUCAUAUCAUCUAGAGCCCUGAGCUCAUGGCCCAAAGUAGAUCAUGUCAUUCAUGACCUUGAGUUGUUCAUAACAUCAAGAGCUUUGAGCUCACAAACUAUAGUUUUUCAUGUCAUCGACAAACUUGAGUUGUUCAUAGCAUCAAAAAACCUAAGCUCACAAUCAAGAUUCGCUCAUAUCUACUAAAGCCUAGAGUUGUUCAUGGCAUCUAAAGCCUUGAGCUCACGACCCAUAGUAGCUCAUGUCAUUCAUAAUCGUGAGUUAUUACUAGCAUCCAGAGCCUUGAGCUCAUGACCCAGAGUUGUUCAUCUCAGCCAUAGCCUAGUGUUGUUCAUAGUCGCUAGAACCCUGAGCCCACAACCUAGAGUAACCUAUGUUAUCCAUAGCCCAGAGCGGUUCAUAGCAUCUAGAGACCUAAGCUCACAACCUAAAGUCAUUCGAGUCAACCACAGCCUAGAGCUAUUCAUCACAUCUAGAGCCCUGAGGUCACAAUCCAUUGUAGCUAAUGUGAUCCAUAGGCCUGAGCUGUCUAUAGCAUCUAGAGCCUUGAGCUCACAACCAAGAGUAGAUCAUGCCAUCCACAACCUUGAGUUGUCCAUGACAUUAGGAGCCUUGAGCUCACAACCUAUAGUCUUUCAUGUCAUCGCCAUCCCUGAACUAUUCAUAGCAUCAAGAAGCCAAAGCUCAUGAUCGAGAGUCGUUCACGUCUACCAAAGUCUAGAGUUGUUAAUAACAUUUAGAGCCCUGAGCUCACUACCCAUAGUAGCUCAUGUCAUUCACAACCAUGAGGUGUUAAUAACAUCCAGAGCCUUAAGUUCCCAACCCAAAGUUGUUCAUGUAAGCCAUAGCCUAGAGCUGUUCAUAGCAGCUAGAGCCUUGAGCUCACGAACAAGAGAAUCCCAUGUUAUUCAUAGCCAGAGUGGUUCAUACCAUUUGGAGACCUAAGCUCAUGACCUAGAGUCGUUCAUUUCCACCAUAGCUUAGAGUUAUUCAUAGCAUCUAGAGUCCUUAGAUCCCGACCCAGAGUAGCUCAUGUCAUCCACAGCCUAGAGUUGUUCAUAGCAUUUGGAGCCUUGAGCUCACAACUUAAAGUAGAUGAUGUCAUCCAAUACCUUGAGCUCUUCAUAGAAUCUUGAGCCUUGAGCUCACAACACAAAUUUUUUAAUAUCAUCGACAUUCCUGGGCUGUUCAUAGCAUCAAGAGCCCUGACCGUACAACCUGAAGUAGUUCAUGCCAAUAUUUUCCCAAACCUGUUCAUAACAUCUAAAGCCCUGAGCUCACGACCUAGAGUAGCUUACGACUUUGACUACCCUAAGUUGUUCAUAGCAUCUAAAGCCUUGAGAGCACAACCCGAAGUCGUUCAUGUGAACCACAACCUUGAGAUGUUCUUGGUAUCCACUACCUUCACCUAUUCAUAUCAUUUAGAGCCCUAAGCUCAUGACCUGGAUUCUUUUGUGUCAUCAACAGCCCUGAUUUGUUCAUAGCUUCUAGAGUCCUGAGCUCACGACCCAAAGCUGUUCAAAUCAACUAUAGCCAAGAGUUAUUCAUAGCAUCUAAAGCCCUGAGCUUAUGACCUAAUGUUGCUCAAGUCAUCAACAACCCCGAGCAUUUCAUAGCAUCUUAGGCUUUAAGCUCACGACCAAGAGUCGUUCAUGUCAACCACAGCCUUAAGUUAUGCAUUGUAUCUGGAGCCCUAAGCUAAUGACCUAGAGUAGCUCAUGUCAUCCAUAGCCUUGAGGUGUUCAUAGGAUUUAAAGCUUUGAGAAGACAACUCAAUGUCAUUCAUGUCAACCACAAUCAUGAGUUGUUCAUAGUAUAUAAAGCCCUAAGCUCACAAUCAUGAGUUGUUCAUAUUGUCCACAACCCUAAGUUGUUCAUAGCAUUUAGAGCCCUGAGCUCAUGACCCGGAGUCAUUCAUAUUGUCCACAACCCUAAGUUGUUCAUAGCAUUUAGAGCCCUAAGCUCAUGACCCGGAGUUUUUCAUGUCAUCAACAUCCUUGAGUUCUACAUAGUAUCUAGACCCCUAAGCUCACGAACCAGGGUUGUUCAUGUGAACCAUAGCCUAGAGUUGUUGAUUGCAUCUAGAGCCCUAAGCUCAUGACGUAGAGUGCCACAUGUCUUCGAUAACCUUAGUUGUUUAUAGCGUCCAAAGACCAAAGCACUUCAUAGCAUCUAGAGUCUUGAGCUCAAGACCCAAAUUCUUUCAUGUCAUUCACACCUUAGAGCAGUUCAUAUCAUCUAGAACCUUGAGUUGUUCAUAGCAUCUAAAGGCUUGAGCUCACAACCUAGAAAUUUUCAUGUCAUCCACAACCUUCAAUUACUCAUAGCAUCUAGAGCCUUGAGCUCAUGACCUAAAGUCAUACAUUUUAACCACAACCCUAAGUUGUUACUAUCAUCUUGAGCACUGAGCUCACAACCCAUAGUCAUUCAUGUCACCCACAGCCCAACGUUGUUCAUAAGAUUUAGAGCCAUGAGCUCACGACCUAGAGUAGCCCAUGUUAUCCACAACCCUAAG
rnacentral:lncRNA from 1 species